rnacentral:rRNA from 1 species
GUAGGUGGCAAGCGUUGUCCGGAAUUAUUGGGCGUAAAGCGCGCGCAGGCGGUUCUUUAAGUCUGAUGUGAAAGCCCACGGGCUCAACCGUGGAGGGUCAUUGGAAACUGGAGAACUUGAGUACAGAAGAGGAAAGCGGAAUUCCACGUGUAGCGGUGAAAUGCGUAGGGAUGUGGAGGAACACCAGUGGCGAAGGCGGCUUUCUGGUCUGUAACUGACGCUGAGGCGCGAAAGCGUGGGGAGCAAACAGGAUUAGAUACCCUGGUAGUCCACGCCGUAAACGAUGAGUGCUAAGUGUUAGGGGGUUUCCGCCCCUUAGUGCUGCAGCUAACGCAUUAAGCACUCCGCCUGGGGAGUACGGCCGCAAAGGCUG